CCUACGGGAGGCAGCAGUGAGGAAUAUUGGUCAAUGGACGAGAGUCUGAACCAGCCUAGUAGCGUGAAGGAUGACUGCCCUAUGGGUUGUAAACUUCUUUUAUAAAGGAAUAAAACGAGGCACGUGUGCCUUUUUGCAUGUACUUUAUGAAUAAGGAUCGGCUAACUCCGUGCCAGGAGCGGCGGUACUACGGAGGAUCCGUGCGUUAUCCGGAUUUAUUGGGUUUAAAGGUAGCGUAGAUGGGUUGUUAAGUCAGUUGUGAACGUUUGCGGCUCAAACGUAAAAUUGCAAUUGAUACUGGCAGUCUUGAGUACAGUUGAGGUAGGCAGAAUUCGUGGUGUAGCGGUGAAAUGCGUAGAUAUCACGAAGAACCCCGAUUGCGAAGGCAGCUUACUAAACUGUGACUGACAUUGAUGCUCGAAAGUGUGGGUAUCAAACAGGAGUAGAUACCCCAGUAGUC
rnacentral:rRNA from 1 species